CCUACGGGAGGCAGCAGUGAGGAAUAUUGGUCAAUGGCCGGAAGGCUGAACCAGCCAAGCCGCGUGAAGGACGUAGGUGCCAAGCAUUGUAAACUUCUUUUGUCAAGGGACAAAAUCAGGCUCGAGAGCCUGACCGAGGGUACUUGAAGAAAAAGCAUCGGCUAACUCCGUGCCAGCAGCCGCGGUAAUACGGAGGAUGCGAGCGUUAUCCGGAUUUAUUGGGUUUAAAGGGAGCGUAGAUGGGUUGUUAAGUCAGUUGUGAAAGUUUGCGGCUCAACCGUAAAAUUGCAAUUGAUACUGGCAGCCUUGAGUACAGUUGAGGUAGGCGGAAUUCGUGGUGUAGCGGUGAAAUGCAUAGAUAUCACGAGGAACCCCGAUUGCGAAGGCAGCCUGCCGGGGUGCGACUGACGCUGAGGCUCGAAGGUGCGGGUAUCAAACAGGAUUAGAUACCCGAGUAGUC
rnacentral:rRNA from 1 species